rnacentral:misc_RNA from 1 species
GUUCAGUCUGUAUCUCCCUCAGGUGUUUAUACAAUGGCCGUGCUUCUGAUUUCAAGGAGUAUUUUCCACUGCCACUCUCAUCCAGCUUCUUUCCUUUUUCUUGAAGUUUUGUUACUUCUGAUUUUAGAUCCUGUAUCCCAGUUUCAAAUUUCUGUAUUUGAUGGAAAGAAGUGCUGAAUUUCAACCAGAAGUCUAAGUUCU